GGAAGAAAGGAUACCCCGGAGGUGCACCGCCUGCGCUAACCAGUCUGGGGAGAUUUCAGUGGGCUGCGCAGUCUUGACAGCCGUCCAGCCAGGGACCUGGCGUUGCCAAGACGUGGUCUUCCACAUUUGCUGCACCUUAGAGUCACCAGGGGCAGCUAUUACAAGUCGCAGUGCCUAGAGCACACCCCAAGUCGGUGAUAUCAGACACUGGGGAAAUGAGGCACAAGCCUUAGUAUUUAUAAAAACACCCCAGAAAAUUCAAAAGAGCAGCCAAGUUUGUGUAGAAGAAACAGUGACCCUGUCUUCUGGGUGUUACAGCCUCUGGGGAAAUUUGGACACGAAGACAUGCACAGAGGAUGAUGAUGUGAAGAAGCAGGGAGAAGAUGGCCAUCUACAAGCCAAGGAGAGAGGCUUGGAGCAGACCUUCCCCUCAGAGGAAACAAACCCUGCCAAUACUUUGAUUUCAAACUUCUCACCCCCAGCACUGUGGACAAUAAAUGUCUGUUGUGUAAGAA